rnacentral:rRNA from 1 species
UGAACGCUGGCGGUAGGCCUAACACAUGCAAGUCGAACGGCAGCACAGUAAGAGCUUGCUCUUACGGGUGGCGAGUGGCGGACGGGUGGGGAAUACAUCGGAAUCUACUUUUUCGUGGGGGAUAACGUAGGGAAACUUACGCUAAUACCGCAUACGACCUACGGGUGAAAGCAGGGGAUCUUCGGACCUUGCGCGAUUGAAUGAGCCGAUGUCGGAUUAGCUAGUUGGCGGGGUAAAGGCCCACCAAGGCGACGAUCCGUAGCUGGUCUGAGAGGAUGAUCAGCCACACUGGAACUGAGACACGGUCCAGACUCCUACGGGAGGCAGCAGUGGGGAAUAUUGGACAAUGGGCGCAAGCCUGAUCCAGCCAUACCGCGUGGGUGAAGAAGGCCUUCGGGUUGUAAAGCCCUUUUGUUGGGAAAGAAAAGCAGCAGGUUAAUACCCCGCUGUUCUGACGGUACCCAAAGAAUAAGCACCGGCUAACUUCGUG